UACGUAGGGCGCAAGCGUUGUCCGGAUUUAUUGGGCGUAAAGAGCGUGUAGGCGGCCACACAGGUCUGCUGUGAAAACUCGAGGCUCAACCUCGAGCUGUCGGUGGAAACCGUGUGGCUAGAGUCCGGAAGAGGAGAGUGGAAUUCCCGGUGUAGCGGUGAAAUGCGUAGAUAUCGAGAGGAACACCAGUGGCGAAGGCGAGUCCCUGGACACUUCCUGACACUGAGGCACGAAAGCUAGGGGAGCAAACGGG
rnacentral:rRNA from 1 species